CAGCAGCCGCGGUAAUACGUAGGUCCCGAGCGUUGUCCGGAUUUAUUGGGCGUAAAGCGAGCGCAGGCGGUUAGAUAAGUCUGAAGUUAAAGGCUGUGGCUUAACCAUAGUACGCUUUGGAAACUGUUUAACUUGAGUGCAAGAGGGGAGAGUGGAAUUCCAUGUGUAGCGGUGAAAUGCGUAGAUAUAUGGAGGAACACCGGUGGCGAAAGCGGCUCUCUGGCUUGUAACUGACGCUGAGGCUCGAAAGCCAGGGGAGCGAACGGGAUUAGAUACCCGUGUAGUCCCUGUCUCUUAUACC
rnacentral:rRNA from 1 species